AUUGAACGCUGGCGGCAGGCCUAACACAUGCAAGUCGAGCGAGCGGCGGACGGGUGAGUAAUGUAUGGGCAUCUGCCUGAUGGAGGGGGAUAACUACUGGAAACGGUAGCUAAUACCGCGUACCAUGGGAUGAGCCGACGUGGGAUUAGGUAGUUGGUGAGGUAAAGGCACACCAAGCCGACGCUCGCUAGCUGGUCUGAGAGGAUGACCAGCCACACUGGGAAUGAGACACGGCCCAGACUCCUACGGGAGGCAGCAGUGGGGAAUAUUGCGCAAUGGGGGAAAGCUGACGCAGCAACGCCGCGUGAAUGAAGAAGGCCUUCGGGUUGUAAAGCUCUGUCGGUAGCGAGGCGGUAACUAAAGAAGAAGCACCGGCUAACUCCGUGCCAGCAGCCGCGGUAAUUC
rnacentral:rRNA from 1 species